rnacentral:lncRNA from 7 species
GAAUAGAGCAGGCCAAGUCAGUCCAAGUCAAGCUAUAAAAAUACAAUAGUUUCAUGAUCGAAGGACACAGGCAGACAUUAUUUCCUGAAGUGGACUUAUUUCACUCAUUUGUCCUAAAGCUAUAUGAAAUCCAGAGCUAACAACUCCAAGAACAGAGGAGUAUUGUGCAUAGUGUGUCAGAGCACAGAGGGAUGGAAAAAGAGGCACGCCUCCCCAUCAGCUUUUGAUUGUGAAAUACAGUGUAAUGGACCCUCAUUAAUUCAAUUCAUGCAGGUGCAGAAGUGACAUAAAAGCCUCGUGAUGGCAUGUGACAGGCUGAAUUAUCUGAUACCCUACGAAAACGCAUGGCUCUUGAGCAAGAUCAGAAGUCACUGGCCCAGAUGCCACAGGAACCUUCACAUCUCAUGCAGCCCAGUCUAGGUGUUACAGUUCACCUGCUAGCACCCUGUCAUACAGCAUCUGCAACGUCAUCAUCUUGAAGACAUCCCUGACAACAGAUGUGUCACAACUGAAGUUAUCUAAAGAAAAGAGAUAGAAAAACAUUUUGCCUUCAUAAGGCUUAAUACAUUUCCUUGGCAUUGUGUAAUCUUCUGAAUUUUAGAACAUGCCAAACAGCAUUACUUCUUUUACUGCCUCUAGUAUCUUAGAAAGAGCCAUCAGAUAAUGAGCCGUGAGUCACUCUACACAUCUACCAUCCAUUUCACCAGCACUGUUCACUGACAUCCUUUAUGUUUUAAAAAUGCAUUAGAGGAAAAAUGUUUAUUCUCACCCUCAAUCUGAUUGACCUUUCAGACGAUGAGGCUUCUCCAGACAUAGGCUUCAUAACACCUCUUCUGCACUGCCAGUCACAUGUCAGAAUUCAAAGCACUAUACUUCUAAGGAGGUCUCCUGGGAAGAUCAAAAGCACAUCCUCUGCUUCUGUAGCAAAGAUUAAUUCAGAUCUAAAAUCUCAUUUUGACUCUGAAGAUAUGUUCACUUUACUAAACGCUUUUGUUCUCCAGUUGAGAACAGUAGAGACCAACUGGCUCCAGACUAUCCAAGUAUUUACUUCUGGUGCUGUCAACUUACUGAAAAUGGUGCCCUGUCCUACCAACGUUCGCUUAAGGUCACUGAACGUAGCUUCAAAAAGACUCUAGAAUUUCAACAGUUUAAGUGUUUGAAACUGAAAAUCCAUCCUAAAACAGACUCCGUGACACGAGUGCUACAGAAAAACAUUUCCCUCUUUUACACAUGCUGAUGGGCUGGAGGAACAGGCAAAUGAGCCAAACACACACUAAAUUAGCUGCAAAGGUACAAGGUUAAUUUGCAUGAAUUCUUCUCCUUAGAAGAAAAAACAGUGAAGCACAGUGAGGAAGUAAAAGUCUUUUCCAUGCCUUUAAUCCAACGAAACUACAGAGCACAGCAAAUACACAAUCUUAAAAUAACACUAAUGACAAUGUCUCUUUUCACAAGCUUAUAAUUAAGCUUAUUCUUCAGGGCUUUGUCAAAUCAGUUCCUUGAUGAAUGAGCAAUUAAAAUUUAAGUAAAAACAUGUACUGUCUAAUAGAUUUUGUUGGUAGAAAAAUAUAAAUCUUUAAAUUAAAGAUUCAUUUU